rnacentral:misc_RNA from 1 species
GAUGAAGAACGUAGCGAAAUGCGAUAAGUAAUGUGAAUUGCAGAAUUCAGUGAAUCAUCGAAUCUUUGAACGCACAUUGCGCCCGCCGGUAUUCUGGCGGGCAUGCCUGUUCGAGCGUCAUUUCAACCAUCAAGCCCCCGGCUUGUGUUGGGGACCUGCGGCUGCCGCAGGCCCUGAAAACCAGUGGCGGGCUCGCUGUCACACCGAGCGUAGUAGAUUUUCAUCUCGCUCAGGGCGUGCUGCGGGUUCCGGCCGUAAAAAGCCUUAUUUACCCAAGGUUGACCUCGGAUCAGGUAGGAAGACCCGCUGAACUUAAGCAUAUCAAUAAGCGGAGGA